GGCGGCGUAGCCAAGUGGCUAAGGCAGAGGUCUGCAAAACCUUCAUUCAGCGGUUCAAAUCCGCUCGCCGCCUCCA
rnacentral:tRNA from 1 species